GACGUAGGAGACAAAUGUUAUCCGGAGUUACUGGGCGUAAAGGGCGUGUAGGUGGUAUCGUAAGUCUGGCGUGAAAUUUCUCGGCUUAACCGAGGCAGGUCGUCGGAUACUGCGAGGCUAGAGGACGGUAGAGGCGUGUGGAAUUCCGGGUGUAGUGGUGAAAUGCGUAGAGAUCCGGAGGAACACCAGUGGCGAAGGCGACACGCUGGGCCGAUACUGACGCUGAGGCGCGAAAGCGUGGGUAGCAAACAGG
rnacentral:rRNA from 1 species